rnacentral:rRNA from 1 species
AAAAUACCGCAUGAGUCCAUAGGCUGGAACGCUUAUGGUGAAACCCGGGGACCGUAAGGCCUGGGGCAAGGAGAGGGUCCUGCGACUGAUUAGCUAGUUGGUGGGGUAACGGCCUACCAAGGCAUCGAUCAGUAGCCGGCCUGAGAGGGUGAUCGGCCACACUGGAACUGAGACACGGUCCAGACUCCUACGGGAGGCAGCAGUGGGGAAUUUUGCGCAAUGGGCGAAAGCCUGACGCAGCAACGCCGCGUGGGUGAUGAAGGUCUUCGGAUCGUAAAACCCUGUCGUCAGGGACGAAGGUUGUAUGCCUAACAGGUGUGCAGCUUGACGGUACCUGGAGAGGAAGCCCCGGCUAACUCUGUGCCAGCAGCCGCGGUAAUACAGAGGGGGCAAGCGUUAUUCGGAAUUAUUGGGCGUAAAGGGCGCGUAGGCGGUGUCUUAAGUGAGAUGUGUAAUCCCCGAGCUUAACUUGGGAACUGCAUCUCAGACUGGGGCGCUAGAGUACUGGAGAGGGUGGUAGAAUUCCACGUGUAGCGGUGAAAUGCGUAGAGAUGUGGAGGAAUACCAGUGGCGAAGGCGGCCACCUGGACAGUAACUGACGCUGAGGCGCGAAAGUGUGGGUAGCAAACAGGAUUAGAUACCCUGGUAGUCCACGCUGUAAACGAUGAACACUUGGUGUGGCGGGAGUUGACCCCUGCCGUGCCGGAGCUAACGCGAUAAGUGUUCCGCCUGGGGAGUACGGUCGCAAGGCUGAAACUCAAAGGAAUUGACGGGGGCCCGCACAAGCGGUGGAGCAUGUGGUUUAAUUCGACGCAACGCGAAGAACCUUACCUGGGCUUGAACUGUAAUGGACCGGUGCAGAGAUGUGCCUUUUCGCAAGAACUGUUACAGAGGUGCUGCAUGGCUGUCGUCCGCUCGUGUCGUGAGAUGUUGGGUUAAGUCCCGCAACGAGCGCAACCCUUACCUCUAGUUGCCAGCGAGUCAUGUCGGGAACUCUAGAGGGACUGCCCGGGUUAACCGGGAGGAAGGUGGGGAUGAUGUCAAGUCCUCAUGGCCCUUAUGUCCAGGGCUACACACGUGCCACAAUGGGUGGUACAAACCGUUGCGAAGUCGCGAGAUGGAGCUAAUCGGAGAAAGCCAUCCUCAGUUCGGAUUGCAGUCUGCAACUCGACUGCAUGAAGGUGGAAUCGCUAGUAAUCGUGUAUCAGAACGAUACGGUGAAUACGUUCCCGGGCCUUGUACACACCGCCCGUCACAUCACGAAAGCCGGGAGCACUUGAAGAGGGUGAGGUAACCGCAAGGAGCCAGCUCUCAAUGGUGAACUUGGUGAUUGGGGUGAAGUCGUAACAAGGUA